rnacentral:rRNA from 1 species
GACGAACGCUGGCGGCGUGCCUAAUACAUGCAAGUCGAACGCUUCUUUCCUCCCGAGUGCUUGCACUCAAUUGGAAAGAGGAGUGGCGGACGGGUGAGUAACACGUGGGUAACCUACCCAUCAGAGGGGGAUAACACUUGGAAACAGGUGCUAAUACCGCAUAACAGUUUAUGCCGCAUGGCAUAAGAGUGAAAGGCGCUUUCGGGUGUCGCUGAUGGAUGGACCCGCGGUGCAUUAGCUAGUUGGUGAGGUAACGGCUCACCAAGGCCACGAUGCAUAGCCGACCUGAGAGGGUAAUCGGCCACACUGGGACUGAGACACGGCCCAGACUCCUACGGGAGGCAGCAGUAGGGAAUCUUCGGCAAUGGACGAAAGUCUGACCGAGCAACGCCGCGUGAGUGAAGAAGGUUUUCGGAUCGUAAAACCCUGUUGUUAGAGAAGAACAAGGACGUUAGUAACUGAACGUCCCCUGACGGUAUCUAACCAGAAAGCCACGGCUAACUACGUGCCAGCAGCCGCGGUAAUACGUAGGUGGCAAGCGUUGUCCGGAUUUAUUGGGCGUAAAGCGAGCGCAGGCGGUUUCUUAAGUCUGAUGUGAAAGCCCCCGGCUCAACCGGGGAGGGUCAUUGGAAACUGGGAAACUUGAGUGCAGAAGAGGAAAGUGGAAUUCCAUGUGUAGCGGUGAAAUGCGCAGAGAUAUGGAGGAACACCAGUGGCGAAGGCGACUUUCUGGUCUGUAACUGACGCUGAUGUGCGAAAGCGUGGGGAUCAAACAGGAUUAGAUACCCUGGUAGUCCACGCCGUAAACGAUGAGUGCUAAGUGUUAGGGGGUUUCCGCCCCUUAGUGCUGCAGCUAACGCAUUAAGCACUCCGCCUGGGGAGUACGACCGCAAGGUUGAAACUCAAAGGAAUUGACGGGGGCCCGCACAAGCGGUGGAGCAUGUGGUUUAAUUCGAAGCAACGCGGAGAACCUUACCAGGUCUUGACAUCCUUUGACCACUCUAGAGAUAGAGCUUUCCCUUCGGGGACAAAGUGACAGGUGGUGCAUGGUUGUCGUCAGCUCGUGUCGUGAGAUGUUGGGUUAAGUCCCGCAACGAGCGCAACCCUUAUUGUUAGUUGCCAUCAUUUAGUUGGGCACUCUAGCGAGACUGCCGGUGACAAACCGGAGGAAGGUGGGGAUGACGUCAAAUCAUCAUGCCCCUUAUGACCUGGGCUACACACGUGCUACAAUGGGAAGUACAACGAGUCGCUAGACCGCGAGGUCAUGCAAAUCUCUUAAAGCUUCUCUCAGUUCGGAUUGCAGGCUGCAACUCGCCUGCAUGAAGCCGGAAUCGCUAGUAAUCGCGGAUCAGCACGCCGCGGUGAAUACGUUCCCGGGCCU